rnacentral:miRNA from 1 species
UGGCAGCAUGAUGCCAGGGCAG